rnacentral:rRNA from 1 species
AUUGAACGCUGGCGGCAGGCCUAACACAUGCAAGUCGAACGGUAACAGGAAGCAGCUUGCUGCUUUGCUGACGAGUGGCGGACGGGUGAGUAAUGUCUGGGAAACUGCCCGAUGGAGGGGGAUAACUACUGGAAACGGUAGCUAAUACCGCAUAACGUCGCAAGACCAAAGAGGGGGACCUUAGGGCCUCUUGCCAUCGGAUGUGCCCAGAUGGGAUUAGCUAGUAGGUGGGGUAACGGCUCACCUAGGCGACGAUCCCUAGCUGGUCUGAGAGGAUGACCAGCCACACUGGAACUGAGACACGGUCCAGACUCCUACGGGAGGCAGCAGUGGGGAAUAUUGCACAAUGGGCGCAAGCCUGAUGCAGCCAUGCCGCGUGUAUGAAGAAGGCCUUCGGGUUGUAAAGUACUUUCAGCGGGGAGGAAGGGAGUAAAGUUAAUACCUUUGCUCAUUGACGUUACCCGCAGAAGAAGCACCGGCUAACUCCGUGC